CCCGUGUUCCCUCCCUUAGCUAAAUUUUAGGUAACUCUCCCUCCCAAAUCGCUCUCAGCCUCUCUCUCACUCACUGUAGCCCUCACCCUCAGUCCCUCUCACCCUCUCAGCCUCGCUCUCAAUCUCAGUCGAUACACUCUCAGUGGGCUGUCUCUGUCGAUCUAGACUGACUUUAGUCUUCAACCUCCAUCUCUCUCUCUCUUCCGACUAGAAAUUGUCACAGUUCACCGAUUUCACCCUCAUCGAACUGAGCAUCAAGUGUGAGCUAUGAACUUCCUGAUUUGCACCCUCUUCUAGAUCAGCUAAGUAAUAUCUACAGCUAAAUAUCAUUGUUUAUGGAAGUCUCUACUCGAGUAAAGAAGCUUAUGAAAGUGCUCUGAAAGAAAAACAUGAUGCUUUUCAGAUAGAAGGGUUUUUGGAUGAAGCUAGUACUACCCAUAUGGAACAGUUAGAGGCUUUUGGAAGAUUGUUUGAGAAAGCUGCAGAAGCUGACACAUCAAGUUGGUGACUUAUGUUGGUAACUUUUCCAUCGAAUUGCUUCACUGGCAUAUAGUAAACCCUUUUGGUAUUUUUGCUUCUUUGGCGGCUUUGAUGUUCAAUUUCGUGAAGAAAGAUGACAUUGAUCACUCUCUUUACAAAGAGGGCGAGUGGGGAUUUUAAACAAGUCAGGUUAUAUCACAGUGGAACUUUACAAGGAUGGUUCUCCAGAGGUUGUGAUAGAUUUCUCGAUUUAUGGUUUUAUUCGGAAUCUUAUCAAGAGGAAGCAAGUAAUUGAUGCUGUUAGAUGCAUUUGCAUCUUGCAGUUAAUUGACAAGUUCUGCUAAAAAAAAAAAAAGAAUUUAUCUAACCUCUGUAAGAUUAAAAGCACAGAACUCACGAUAUUAACCAAAGAACAAAAAAAAACUAAACUUUCAAUCUAGACUAUUCUGUUUCUAUGACUAACUAUUGUUACCAAUUCUUGAAAUGUUUUGCAGGACUGCAUACAUGGCUCCGUGCACUCUAAACAAAAAAGGGACUGAACCAUAAUCUGGAUCAAUUUUUCAGUGAGAUUGGUGGAACAACAAGCCACAAAACCUCAAAUUUUCAAGCCAACAUUUAUCAAACACUUCUCAUUAUUGUGUUCUAUUUAUAGCUUCAUUAAACUAUACAUACCAAGUUUGAUUUGAAGUCAUUAAUUCCAGUGAGAACUUCGUGUAAUGUGUUCUAAUCAUGCAGCUAAAAAAUUGAAUGCUGUAAUGUGAUAGCGGACUACAAUGCACAGAUUGAAGUCAACUUUAAGCCGAAACUACAGUAUGAAAAGGCAACCAUCAACUGUGACUGCUGAUACAACAGCUCCAAGUGUUCCACAUAAUGAAUCGACAAUGUCCCUUGGGUUAAGCAGUCGCCAGAUUACCCUUCUGCUUUCAUCUAUCUGGGCACAGUCCAUCUCCCCUUUAAAUACGCCUGAAAUCUAUCAAGCAAUUGCUCAUACCUACAGCCUUGUGUUGCUAUAUGCUCGGACUAAGUGGGAGAGAAGAGGGAAGGCAGCAUAUACGCAGCACCAUAUUGAUGCAAUCAGAACAGAGUGGGCAAAAUUUGUUGUUAAAACAUAUAUGUAAGUAGUAUCGCAUCUAGCUAGUUAGUACUUGGGUAUAGGGACUUAUUUUGGUAACCUUGAUAUAUGAUAGACUUGCUAUAUUAAGGUUGCUUUUGGUUUGGAUUGUGGUUGAUCCGAAUAUGAAUUUGCACUUUGGUUCCAAAGUUGGAUAUGGCAAUGUAUGAAACAGAUGACAGUAAUCUAUGACAAUGUGGUAUUUUGGAUA